GACUCCGAGCGCAGUAGUAAAACCCUCGCUUUGGACUGUACUGGCGCGGCCCUGCCGUAAAACCCCCAACUUCUGAAAAUUUGACCUCGACAACGUAGGAAUACCCGCUGAAUUAAGCAUACAAGG
rnacentral:rRNA from 1 species